rnacentral:ncRNA from 2 species
CUUGACCUCAAAUCAGGUAGGACUACCCG